UGCAAAUGAUGUUUUUUCUCACGAUGGUCUUCCAAGUCCUUUGGACUCUGACGACAUUGCCUUUAUGGCAGAACUGAAGCUUCCGG